ACACUGCGGCGGCCGGAGGGUGAGGUGGGUGCGUGGUGACGUCAUCGCGCCGGCUCCUCCCAACGCAGGAGGCGGGCUCCGAGACACCCGUGGAUGCAGCUGUGUGAGACCAUGGGGGCUCAGCAGAGCGGCGGCCAGGGCGUCCUGGAGCCCGCACAGCCACAGCCAGCGGCACCCGAGGGCGCGGAGCGACCCGGGCCUCAGCCACAGGCUGAGCCCAGCCCGUGGGGCCCGCUGGAUGACGUGCGCUUCCUCAUCGCCUGCACCUCCUGGUACUGACUCCGGAGGAUGCGGCCCGCCUGCUGCCUCCUGUCCUCCUUGCCUGCCUUGGUCCACGCCCCUGUGUCUGUCUUACCGUCCCUCUCCCACCUUGAGUGCUCUGGAGACCAUGGAGAAUUCGAAGAGGUCGCCUGGGACUGGAAGCCCCCAGCCUGCACCCAAACCCAGCUCAGACCUUCAUACACUCCCCCCUUCUCUUCAGCUGUCUGGGUCCUGGGGGGUCCCUCCCUGUCACUGUCUUCCAGUACCAGGCAAGGGCUCCUGACCUUGUUUGCCCCUUAUUGCCGAGAACCAAGCUCAUGCCUGUGUCCCAGGUCAUGGCACCAUGUGCCUUGACUUCAGAGAUGAUCUUGCCACAAUGACCCUCCCCAUACUCCUCCUGAAGGGGGUUAUUCCCCUAUCCUGGAUCCAAAUGAGGUGUCAUCAAGCUGUAUUCCUGGGACCUCAUUAACAUCGGGCCUCCAGGGCCAGCCUUUUGAAGAGGAAGGACAUCUGAUUGCUGGUCUGGCAGAUGAGAUUUGUGAGGCAGCUCCCAGAUACCCCAAAGCACCCUGUUCUCCCAGAAGCUUCUUAAGCUCACUCUUAGAACCUGAUCUUUGUUCCCACGUCCCAGGAAAGUGACACACUCUGUAUUUCUGUUUUAUUUAGAAAUGAUUUAAAAAACAUUAUACAAAGGCUGAUCAGUUUAAAAUGUGACUGACACUGAAAUGCUGUGAUGUUCCCCAGGCUGAGGGGAAGCCGGGCUCUGGGGCCCCCAGUGCUUUGCCCCUCUGUCUAUCUGCCCUGUCCUGGGGUGGUGGACAAACAGAUGACAACAGGCAGGAGUAUCUGAGAUUGGAAGCCUCUAGGCUGAGCCCUCUCUGGGCCUGGCCCCACAUCCCUCGUCUGCAGCCUGGUCUGCCUGCCCCAUCCCCUGCUCUUUCUCAGCUGGCCUAGGUAGUACCAGGAGCCAGUGGGGAGCCUGGCGGGAGGUGGGGGGUGCCUAGAGCUUUCAAGAAGUGAGAGCACCAACCUGAGGAAUGGAGAGGGACCAGCAAGGGAGGCCAGGAAGAGAUGGAUAGAGGAGACACGUCUCAUCUCAGACCCUACAGGGUCCACAGAUGGGGACAUGAGACCCAGCCAACCCACUGGAUGGCCUGGGCAAGUUAACAGAACCUCUCUGUGCUUCAUCUGAGGGCAUGAUGAGAGUUACCCUCGGCCUCCCAGGGCCUACAGGAGUUUCAUGUGAGUGGACAGGUGUGAGCUAAUAAAGUGCUUUGCAAAGUAUAAAACACUGUA